rnacentral:lncRNA from 1 species
CAUUGUAUGUGCAAAUUGGAGCUACAUUUAAUUUAGUUUCACAAUGUAAGAAUUAUGUAUGUGAAAUCUUGAUUGAAAUCGAGAUCUCUGUUUUGUCUGAGCUUGUAAGUUGAUGUGUGGCGAUCUUUUAGUGAGAUUUGAACUCGAGGCCCUCCAAUACCUCCAGUGGUAUCUGAGGUUCAUUUUCAUCAUUGGAAACUGAGCAUCGAAAAUAAUAAGCAAUUAGUUUUCUUGGGGAGAAAAACAGAAACAUAGAAAAAGCAUCACCUUGAGGCUUGAACAAGAACUGCUGCAAGAAACAGUAUGAAUAAGAAAGAGAUUUAAUUGUUACUGCUGAGCUCUAUCUGUGUAUUAAUUGUUUGUCACUUGUCAAUAGUUUUUAACUGCCUCCUGUUUGGGAAGCACGAAACAGAUUGAAUCCCUUAGCUCAACUUGACAACCAACAGCAAUAUUGAUGGAGGGUAGCAACGAAGCAGCAGAUCUGGAGAGACAAAUUGCAUCUGCAGCUCCUUCAAAUUGUUUGGUAAAAUACAAACAACUUAUAAACUGCAAAAAUAAGCUUUAAGAAAAAUAAGUUCCUCUAUCCCAACUUAUUUUUCAUAAUCUUAUAUGCAACCAUCAUUUUACAAAUAUUAUUCAACUAUUGUUUAUUUAUUUCUAUCGUGUAACUUUUCAAGUUCGUCCUCUUCAAUGUUCUCUCUCUUGAAACAUCUUAUGCAGCUCUAGUUUAAUUCGUUGCUCUUCUCAACAAAUCGAUGGCGGGAGCUUAUGCAGCUAUAGUUUCUCUGAUGAAUACAGUGGAGCAGAUCCAAAACCACCCUCAAGUUUCCACUUUUCUUGAUCAUUGCCAGAUUGAGAUCCUCCGCGAAAAGGUUUUCUUUCUUCCUAGAUUUUAUGCUGAUUGUGGAGAAAGGACAGAGGCUUGCGAAGGAGACAGCGCUGUUGCAGUGUAAGAAGGAAGCUAUUGAGGCAUUGCCCGAGCAUCUCAAAGAGGCUGCUUUAGUCCCGGAUUUGACUCCUUUUCCAGCAAACCGAUUUAUGGCAACACUGACCCCACCAAUCGAAGGCUAUAGCGAGAAGAUCAACGAGGCAGCAGCACGGAAGAGUGUUGAAGGGAAGAAGCGCAGAUGAUAAGAGGUUAGAAUGCUAUUUCAUAAUUCUUUCACAAUCAAAAGCUAUCAUGCAUGUUUAAGUGUUGGAAGGGGAGUCUUUACUUUGGGUGAUAGCUUACAUAGUUAACAAUAAUAUAGGCUAAUCCACUGCAUACAGUUUGAUGGAUUGAAUAAUUUUGAGCUUGUUUGAACAUCCAAUAUAAUUCUUCAAAUUCGCAAUCAUGUAUUGUUAAUCUCUUCCAUCGCCCUCUUAAAGAAUAAUCGUAAUCCCGUUGGAGGUUUUAACUGCAUAAAUUUUGACCUUUAAUAAACCUGCUGCUAGUAAGUGGCAUUCAAAAAGCAUGGCAAAGACUGAUUAAGAAAUCAAAUAAUUCUCAAUUCUCUUCUACUUCUCUACUUAUUUUUUUGGCCAAUUCUUUGGUAGAAAUGACUGAAAAUUUUCUAUUGUCACCAGGCGACGCCUCAGCAUGGGUUUGCGACUUCAAUUUGCAGUGAUCUUGGGCCUACGAUGACUAUAUUUCUUGCAACGAUUCGUUUCUACGUAGCUUUGGUUAGUUAAGUCACUAUGCAUUGAUAGUUGUUUGCUGCAAAUAAGAAUAUAGCAGUAGCCAUAUAGCAUUCUUCUUCAGCGGUUGUUUUUUACUUGCUACUCUUUUUUGAAUGGUAAUUGCGAAUCAUUGUGGAUCAUUUUAUUGCCUUCUUGAAUCUUGUCAUCUCAUAUUUAACAUUUCAAUUAUUAAAUGGAACAUGAAAUUCUAUGACACCAAAUAUUUCUUUAUUUGCUUUGAGCUAGCAGUUCAUGUUUGAAAAGGCAAGAAGUUGGAUAUUUUGUGUUUGGUUGAGGAUUUUACUUAAUUUUAACAUAAUGGACUGUAAUUUACAUUUAUCAAUAAAUAAUUGUGUUUUUAAAACAUAAUGCUACGAGCCUUAUUCCGUGAAGAGAAAUGUGAAGACGGCUCGAAUAUGUUCAAAGAGAUGCAAGCACUACAAGUGUCUCAAAGAUAAAGGCGUCAUUUCAAACAUAGUAACUUUACAUGCAAUGAUAAUAAAGUUACACGAGGUGUGCGUGUGUUGGCCAAGCGGUAAGGGGUUAAUGUCUAAGGCCAAAGGUCUUGGGUUCGAGUUCUAUGGCGCGGCCUUUAAAAUUUUUUUAUUUAAUACUGUUAAAUUAUCAAAAAAAAAAAAAAAAAAGUCACAGCAAAGGAUUCGUUCGAUGAACAAUUGAGGCUAAAAAUUCGAUGAUGCAAAUUGUAAAUAACAACUCUUGCUGAUUGUGUGCGUACAAUGUUUUUGUUCAAUGUCUUUUCCAAUCGAGCAAGAUGCAAGAUGCAAUUUUGUUGUUGGAUUGAAUGAGAAACAUAUUUGAUGCACGUUAUUUCGAUUUUGAUUAAACAUCUAUCAUUAUUUCGAUUUUAAUUAAACAUUUGCAGAGCGAAGGUAGAAAAUAGUGUUUUUUUUUACAAGCUUAAGAAACUUAUAUCAACAAAUAUAUUUUUUGUUUGUACAGUUUACAUAUUUCACUAAGAAAAGUGUGGUAAUUUUUUUGUUUAUAUUAAUAAACUAGUUCAAGAAAAAUGAAAAUAUGUAAACUGAUUUUUAGAAAUGAAAGCACAAUGAUCCAAUUUUAACAGAACGAAAGCACAACUUAAUUUUGAUAAUCAAAGUAAAUAAAAUUGAUCCACGAAUCAAAGUAGAAUGAGUAGGUUCUAGAUAUGAUAUUUUUUUGUUCACUAUCAUUAAAUAAUUAUUUGAUUUUUUCAUGUUCAUAGCAUAACUGAUAAGCUAGUAUUGUUAUAUACUAGCAGAAAUACGUACAUAUAAUUAAUGUUAUUUUAAUUGAUAAUUUAUUAUUUAAAAAAAAUCUAUUAAUUCAUUACUUUUAGAUGUAAUAAAUGUAAUAAAUCUAUUAAGUUAACGCACCCAUAAAGUAUUCUUUAUAGAUUUGGAUGACAAAUAAAUGUAUAUCAAAAUAGAUUUAUAUUUUAUAAACAUAAUAAUAAAUAUGUAGCAUGAGUAAAAUAGACAAUCCAUAAAUUGUGUCUUACAUUGCCUUACGCUCUUUUUCUAUUAGUAUAGAUUUAACAAAUGUAGUAUAAAAUUGUAAUUUUCUAGUGGGACCCCUCCAUCCAUAUUUAGAUGUAAUGACCAACUAAUUCAAUGUUUGAUGCGGUAUAUUAGGGUGGAUAAAUUGUAUUUCUAAUGUUUGAUGCGGUAGUUUAUUAAUAAGUGAAGCUCGCAUUUAUUUGGGGGCCCGUCGUAAUUUCACUGUAGCAAAAACAUAAUUAAUUCAGCGCCUAUGGAGAGAUUUCUAAUAUUGAUAGCUACAGUGGCUGAGAUUAUAAUUUAAGUAGUCGAAAUUGUCCCUUGCUUCAUUUUCAGGUGGUCAUUUCACAAUAUAAGUGGAGGGUAAGGUGGUCAUUUCACAAUAUAAGCUACACCAUAAUGUAUUUUAAUGUCUGCUAUCAAACAAUAAAUUCCUAUUAACUGGAGAUUAUUUAGGAGCUAUCAACCAAUGAUAAAUUUAAUUAAUUUCAAUAAAUGUGUAUUAUAAAUAAUUAAUCUCUAGAUUACCAUCAAACACCAUAAGAGUAUUUAAAAACUAUGACCAUAAAAAAAAUACAAAACCUGAAUUUAGGAGUUAUCACUAAUUUAGAUACUUUGACUAAUUCAUAACCAAAUAUAUUAAACUUUAUGAGCAAGAAAAAUAAGACAAAAUCCGUCCACCAAUUGCAAGGAAUUUAUCUUCAUUUCUGUUUUUAAUAAAGUCCUAUUCUUUAGGAUUAGUUGAGAUAUUUUAUUGUUUUCAGUUAUGUUUUUAUUUGGAAGACUAUUUAACACAACACCAACUUUGUUUAUUUUCAAUUAAAUUAAUGUGCUUUUGCACUUUUCUUAUCUAUCAUACACCUUUUUCAUUCAUCUCUUCCAAACCUUCUAAAAAAUUAUCACUUUAAAAGAAAAAUUAGAGUGAGAAUGAGGCGAAAUCACGCUGCCAUGAUUUUGGGAAGAAUUAUCUCCAAUUCUUCUUUCAAUUCAUCCACUCUCCCCAUUGCUUCUCUACACUCGUUUCUUGUCAAACCCAGAUUCAAUUUUGAUAAUCUCACCCACCAAAUUAGAUACUUCUCCCCCUAUCCCAGAUUCAAUCUUGAAUCUAUACGUGAGCCCAAUGAUGCCGUCGCUCUAUUUCGGGAAAUGGUGAGGGCGCAGCCGCUCCCUUAUGCUUCUGUUUUCAGUAAAUUGUUGAGUACUGUGGUCAAGAUGAAACAAUACUCUCUUGCCCUUCAUCUGAUCGAUGAAAUGCUUCAAAGGCAUGUUCCUGUAAAUCACUACACGUUGAGUAUUGCGAUUGAUUGCUAUUGCCGACUGAAAAGACCUGAUUUUGGGUUUGCGAUCUUAGGCAUUUUUUUCAAGCGUGGGUACGAGCCUACUGUGGUAACCUUCAACAUUCUCGUGAAGGGCCUUCUGUUUGUUGAAAGGAUCCCAGAGGCAGCUAAAUUGUUGGGGAAGCUGUCGGCCUACCAACUGUGCGAGCCCGAUGAGUAUACGUAUAGUACUAUAAUUAAUGGGUUAUGCAAAGCUGGAGAUAUUCUACAGGCGAUUGAUUUGCUCUGCUCAUUGGAAAAAGGAAAAGGGAGCUGCAAACCCGAUGUCUAUGCUUACAGCAUAGUCAUUGAUGGUCUAUGCAAGAGCGGAAAGGUGGACGAAGCCCUCCAACUCUUCUUCACUUUGGGUGAUAGGGGGAUUUCACCAAAUGUCGUGACAUAUAGUUCAAUAAUAGAGGGGUUGUGCAAGAUGAGAAGAAUGGACGAGGCUCAAGACAUUUUAAAGAAGAUGAUAGCUAAUAAGGUAUGCCCAAAUGUGUGGACGUGUAGUAUCUUUGUGGAUGCUUGGUGCAGAGAUGGAAUGGUGGAAGAGGCUGAACAUAUGUUGGUAUCUAUGAAGGAGAUUGAUGUUCAACCCAACAUUGUCAUAUACAAUGCAUUGAUUGAUGGGUACUGUUUGCAAGGAAAAGUGGAUGAUGCCGAACGCAUUUUCCAAUUAGCAGUGAAUUCUGGAAUCAAUCCCGAUAUCAUAAGCUACACUAGCUUGAUGAACGGGUAUUGCAAAAUUGGGCGAGUUAAUAAAGUUUCGCGUAUUUUUAGCGAAAUUCGCACCGAAGGGUUAGAGCGCGAUGUUAUUUGUUAUGGAAUAAUGCUAGAGGCGCUAUUUCGUGAAGGCAGAUGUGAGGAUGGCUUGAAUUUGUUCAAAGAGAUGCAAGCUCUAGGAUUGUCUCCUGAUGUGAAGACUUACAAUAUCUUGUUGGAUGGUCUGUGCAGUGCUCAUCGUAUCACUGAAGCAUUUUCCAUAUUGCACACUAUGGAAGGUAAAGGCAUCGUUCCAGACAUAGUAACAUUCAAUAUUCUCAUUGAGGGAUUGUGCAACGACAACAAAGUCAGAGAAGCAAAAGAUCUAUUUGACAAGCUUCCAUCCAAAGGUUUGCAGCCUGACGUCAUAACUUAUACAAUCCUUAUCGGUGCACUUUGUGAGGAAGGGCAGAUAGAGGAGGCUAAGGAUUUGAUGAUGCAAAUGGUAAGCAACGGUUGCUUGCCUAAUAGUGUAACAUACAAUGUUUUUGUUCGAGGUCUUCUCAAAAUGAACAAGAUGCUUGAUGCAAUGCAACUUUUGGAAGAGAUGGAUUCAAGGGGAUUUACACUUGACAAAACUGCAUAUUCGAUGUUGAUUGAACAUGUUAAAAUGGAAGGUAGAGAUAGUGUUCUGGUUGAUAAGGUUAAGAAACUUUUACCGAAGGACUUCUAUUCUAGUUAGGUUUUAUGUUGUGUUUGAAGGUCAAGAAUUAUUGCAAUAGAGAUUAAGGGGAAAGUACAAUUGCUUAUUUGUUUAUUUAAUCUUUAUGUUAUGAUGAUUUAAAAAUGUUUCAAUUUUGUAGUUGUGAUGUUGUUUAUGUAAUCUCUAUGUUUUCUACAUAUAAUAAAGUGCCCCUCUCUCUCUCUGUCUCACCUAUGACACACACAUUUGUAGUAGUAGGCACUGUUGGUGGGAUUGUUACUUGGAUUGGGAGUUACAUUGUAUAUGCAAAUUGGAGCUACAUUUAAUUUAGUUUCACAAUGUAAGCAUUAUGUAUAUGAAUUCUUGAUUGAAAUCAAGAUCUCUGUUUUGUCUGAGUUUGUAAGUUGAUGUGUGGCAAUCUUUUAGUGAGAUUUGAACUCGAGGCCCUCCAAUACCUCCUGUGGUAUCUGAGGUUCAUUUUCAUCAUUGAAAACUGAGCAUCGAAAAUAAUAAGCAAUUAGUUUUCUUGGGGAGAAAAAAAGAAACACAGAAGAAGCAUCACCUUGAACAAGAACUGCCGCAAGAAACAGUAUGAAUAAGAACAAAGUGAUGGAAGGGAUGUGAAUGGGGGGGAGAGAGAGAGAGGUUACUGCUGAGCUCUAUCUGUGUAUUAAUUGUUUUUCACUUGUCAAUAGUUUUUAACUGCCUCCUGUUUGGGAAGCACGACACAGAUUCUAAAGGAUAAGGGCAAUGUUCCUGUUUGAGGCAACAUCCCCACCAAUCGAAGGCUAUAGCGAGAAGAUCAAUGAGGC